GCUUACGGCCAUAUCACAUUGAAAGCACCGGUUCUCGUCUGAUCACCGAAGUUAAGCAACGUCGAGCCUAGUCAAUACUUAGAUGGGUGACCGCUUGGGAAAACCUAGGUGCAGUAAGCA
rnacentral:rRNA from 1 species